UUUCAAUGGAUUCUGAGACUAGAGAGAAAAAAUUAAAAAAAAAUAGAGCAGCGAGACGAACCUAGGAUAACUACACAAAUCUCAGCCAUUAUUUCAAACUUCAACCCAUUUUAUAGCUUAUUCAGAGAUCGAUUUACAAUGGGAACUAAAAUGAAGGAGAAAUGAACUUGGAAUUGAGAAACUGAAUUAGUACAACAUUGAAAUUGACAAAGAGGGAGCAAAUAGCAGCUAAAAUCAGUCCUCGAGCAGCAACAGCCUCAAACUUCUCAAAUAACUUCUAUUUUUAAACUAAAAUCCAGAAUCGAAAUGAAGAAGAUGGGUUCUAGAGAUUUGGAAAGAAAAAAGAAACUUUAAACAAUGGUCGCUAUGAAAAUAUAAACAUCAAAAACCUCAAUCAUUCUUCUUCUGCUUUUUUUUGGUAUUAGAAUUUAAAAGGAACAAUUAAAAUAAAGAAAAGAAAUCUCUCGAAUCUUUUCCAAAAUCCUCUCUGAAGAAAUUUCCCGAAGUCCCUCUGAAAAUCCCCAGGAUCCCCUUCUCUCAAAAUCGGAUAAGGCUCCCUUUGAGGACGAAUCCUUUAUGAAUGUGGGGCUCGGAUUGUGUGAAAUCAAUCCAAUGCCUCACACUCAUCCAGCAUAUCGUCUUUAGGACCUUCCAAUCGCCUGCCUUAUCUCCAAAUCGAGCGAGUGAAGGGAAGGAGAAUCUUCGGUGUCAGAAACCGAUAAAAAUGUUGAUGAGGAGAGAAGGAGGAAUGUGUGGUUAAGGGUGUGGAAUCACUCGCCAUGGAUUUGGGCUGAAAUGAGGCUGGAUUUGAUUUGGAGAAGAGGAACGUCUUUGGGAUUUUAGUGUUCUGCCCGUUUGUUUCUUUGUGUUUAUUAGUUAAUUGGAAUGAGUCGGGUUUGGGCAUGGAAUUGGGGCAUGGGUCUGGGCGUAGUUGGG
rnacentral:lncRNA from 1 species